rnacentral:rRNA from 1 species
UACAGAGGUCUCAAGCGUUGUUCGGAUUCAUUGGGCGUAAAGGGUGCGUAGGUGGGCAGGUAAGUCAGUGGUGAAAUCUCUGGGCUUAACCCGGAAACUGCCAUUGAUACUAUCUGUCUUGAAUACCGUGGAGGUUAGCGGAAUAUGUCAUGUAGCGGUGAAAUGCUUAGAUAUGACAUAGAACACCAAUUGCGAAGGCAGCUGGCUACACGAAUAUUGACACUGAUGCACGAAAGCGUGGGGAUCAAACAGG